rnacentral:rRNA from 1 species
ACGGGUGAGGAAUACAUCGGAAUCUACUUUUUCGUGGGGGAUAACGUAGGGAAACUUACGCUAAUACCGCAUACGACCUACGGGUGAAAGCAGGGGAUCUUCGGACCUUGCGCGAUUGAAUGAGCCGAUGUCGGAUUAGCUAGUUGGCGGGGUAAAGGCCCACCAAGGCGACGAUCCGUAGCUGGUCUGAGAGGAUGAUCAGCCACACUGGAACUGAGACACGGUCCAGACUCCUACGGGAGGCAGCAGUGGGGAAUAUUGGACAAUGGGCGCAAGCCUGAUCCAGCCAUACCGCGUGGGUGAAGAAGGCCUUCGGGUUGUAAAGCCCUUUUGUUGGGAAAGAAAUCCAGCCGGCUAAUACCUGGUUGGGAUGACGGUACCCAAAGAAUAAGCACCGGCUAACUUCGUGCCAGCAGCCGCGGUAAUACGAAGGGUGCAAGCGUUACUCGGAAUUACUGGGCGUAAAGCGUGCGUAGGUGGUUGUUUAAGUCUGUUGUGAAAGCCCUGGGCUCAACCUGGGAACUGCAGUGGAAACUGGACAACUAGAGUGUGGUAGAGGGUAGCGGAAUUCCCGGUGUA